CCUGACCUCUGCACCCACUCAGGGAGCUCAGGAAAGCACUGCGCCUAUGAAGGAGCAGGGUCCCGGCUCAGGGCCACCUACCUUAUUGUCAAUGGAAAUGUGACAGUGUUUAUCCCAAGUCACCGCUGGAAAUUAAAGAACAAGAAGAGCCUAGCACAGAGCCUCGCAUGGAGCUCUCAACGCAUGGGGAGCCUGACACGGCCAUCACUGUUCCUGUGUCACCCUUGAGCUCUUAUAAACCUUCGCCAGCAAAAGCAAGCACUUAACAUCGUUCAUCAUGGAUGGGAUGUCUUUGACUGCCAAAAAGAAACUCAGAUUAGUGCUUGGGCUACCGGAAAGCAGGACCCCAGCUGCCCUGGGAGAGACAUGGGCACAGCGUGCAGUGUGCUGCCCCAGAGGCUAGAAGCCGUCUGGAAUGCUGCCUCACCGAAGUC